UUUGUUUUUUAAAUAUUUGUUAGAAAUUAAUGUAAGGUUAGAGAUAGUUAUUAAUAGAUUUUUUUUUUAAGCUUAUAAAACAUAAUGUGUAUAUUUCAUAAUCCUUUCUGGUGAUCAUGCUUGGGGUCCCAAUGUCAUGCAUUCAUAUUUUUUUUUUUUGUACAUUCAAAAUUAAUUAUUUGAAAGUAAAAUUUGCUUUGGGCUACAAUAAACCUGAAUUGUUUAGGGUACCAGACGUUUCGCCCCCAAAUCGGAUGUCAGUUCACCCUCGCAUGCUUAACCAGUUCGCCCCCACAAAGGUACCAGUUCACACCCAUAAAGAUUUAUAUGUAUUAAUUAAUUGAACUGGUGAUUAUGUCAAAUGUGCCCGCACUGACUCAAGAUCCAACCAAAUCGUGGAAAGACGACAAUCCCUCCCCUCUAAGAAAAGAAACACACACACACACAGUUUAACAUGCCUCUAAAGAAACAAUACAGUAAUUGUUUAAAAGUAACAAAUAAUUGGGAUUUGGGGGCGAACUGACAAAUAGUUGGGGGCGCGAACUGGUACAUGGGGCGAACAGGUCAAACUGGGGGCAAAACGUCAUGGAUUCAUUGUCUAUACAAAAAGUAAGUUUGUUUUGUUUAAAGACACCACUAGAGCACAUUGAUUUAUUAAUCAUUGGCUAUUGGAUGUCAAACAGGUAAUUUUGACAUAAUUUUUGAAAGGGAACCUGCUAAAAAUUAAUUAGUAGCAAUGUAUUUUUAUCUAUGCACCAUCCCACAACAGGAUAGCACUUACCAAGAUGAAAUACAUACGAAAUCGUGCAACAAUUGCCGAUCGAUGCAUACUUAUUGUUUGCUGAGAAUAUAUAUAAAAUUAAAAAAUUACCUUGAAAUAUUUAUACCAUUAUAUUUUGUGUUGCUUGUUUACUCUGUUCACUUCACCCCCAACUGUCGGUAUGGAUGCCCCCAAAUAUGUACAACACAUCUUUGGUUGCAUUUUGUAUUUAUAUUAUUUUAUAUUACUUUGACUGGGGUGUGAUAUCAAGCCUUUUCGCCCCAUGCCAGUUAAUUUCUUUUCAAAACGUUUCAAAAGAAACUAUAAAACUCUUAAACUGACACAGAAAAAUUCUUGGAUAGGAUAUUGACAUACCUUUGGGAUGGAUUGGUUUGCAUAAGGAUGAAAUGGACAUUUACUUUGAUUACAAGAAACACAAGUUAUAUAUAUAUAUAUAUAUUUUUUUUUCUUCAGAAAAAUCGUCAGCGCAUUCUGGUCAUCAUAUUAUGGAAAUAUUUGUGACUGAAUCCCAUCUGAAUGUUGGAUGACAUAUAUCAAGAUGACACUGAACAGGACAUAACUGAGGAAAAUGGAUGUGAGAGAAUCCAAUCUAACAGUUGGAAAUAAAUAUAUAUAUUAUUUA